rnacentral:lncRNA from 1 species
CUGUCUCCUUCACCCCACUGAUCUGCUUCUUCUUCAACCAAAAUCACGACCAUACCCCAAAACUUUGAUCUUUGAUUUCACUUGAUUUAAAAGCUGUUUUUUGUGUGCGUGAACAAAAGAAAAAACUUCUUUUUUGGGUGAUCCUACUUUUACAUCAGCUGCGUCAGUGAAUGCUAAAUGGAGUUGUAUUUCUUGUUAGAUUGAAGAAGAUUAGUUCAAUGAUCGGAUUCUGAUUUGAAAAACACAACGGUUUUUUUAUACUUCCUCAAGGCAUCCAUGGUUGUAAUCUUGGCAGCAGGCUUAUGCUAUUUUUAGGUUUGAUUUGUUGGUAUAUCGGAUCUGGUAAAGGUCUUGUACUACUACUGCUACUUCAAGGAAAGAAAGCUAACAUUCGAACUAGACCGGAAAAAGGUUGCAAGUCGAGUUUUUUUUGGUCGUUAGUCGCCGGUGAGGUUUCUGUUUAACAAUUCCGGUUCCUGUUAGAGGUUCAUUCUUGGUCGAAUUUUGAAAGAAGCAGUCAAGCAAUUGAAAAGGUUCAUUCUCUUCUAACAACAACAACAACUACCCAGUAUAGUCCCACAAAGUGGGGUCUGGGGAGAUUAAUAUGUAGAUAAACCUUACCCUUUCGGACAAGGACAGAGAGGCUGUUUCCAAUCGACCCUCGCUCAGUUCAUUCUCUUCUACUCUUAAAUAAAUUUCGUAACUUCGACUAGUCUUGUUAGUGUUUGUUGGAGUUGCAUGUUUAAUUGUGUUAAUGUGAGGUGAGGGAAAUCAUGUUGGACCUGUUAAUUUAGAUAUUUUGUUGGGAUUAAUUUGCUGAUCAUGAAUUCAAAUCUCCGAUUCGCU